rnacentral:rRNA from 1 species
GAGUUGCGAACGGGUGAGUAACGCGUAGGUAACCUGCCUUGUAGCGGGGGAUAACUAUUGGAAACGAUAGCUAAUACCGCAUAACAAUGGAUGACACAUGUCAUUUAUUUGAAAGGGGCAAUUGCUCCACUACAAGAUGGACCUGCGUUGUAUUAGCUAGUAGGUGAGGUAACGGCUCACCUAGGCGACGAUACAUAGCCGACCUGAGAGGGUGAUCGGCCACACUGGGACUGAGACACGGCCCAGACUCCUACGGGAGGCAGCAGUAGGGAAUCUUCGGCAAUGGGGGCAACCCUGACCGAGCAACGCCGCGUGAGUGAAGAAGGUUUUCGGAUCGUAAAGCUCUGUUGUAAGUCAAGAACGAGUGUGAGAGUGGAAAGUUCACACUGUGACGGUAGCUUACCAGAAAGGGACGGCUAACUACGUGCCAGCAGCCGCGGUAAUACGUAGGUCCCGAGCGUUGUCCGGAUUUAUUGGGCGUAAAGCGAGCGCAGGCGGUUUGAUAAGUCUGAAGUUAAAGGCUGUGGCUCAACCAUAGUUCGCUUUGGAAACUGUCAAACUUGAGUGCAGAAGGGGAGAGUGGAAUUCCAUGUGUAGCGGUGAAAUGCGUAGAUAUAUGGAGGAACACCGGUGGCGAAAGCGGCUCUCUGGUCUGUAACUGACGCUGAGGCUCGAAAGCGUGGGGAGCGAACAGGAUUAGAUACCCUGGUAGUCCACGCCGUAAACGAUGAGUGCUAGGUGUUGGAUCCUUUCCGGGAUUCAGUGCCGCAGCUAACGCAUUAAGCACUCCGCCUGGGGAGUACGACCGCAAGGUUGAAACUCAAAGGAAUUGACGGGGGCCCGCACAAGCGGUGGAGCAUGUGGUUUAAUUCGAAGCAACGCGAAGAACCUUACCAGGUCUUGACAUCCCGAUGCUAUUUCUAGAGAUAGAAAGUUACUUCGGUACAUCGGUGACAGGUGGUGCAUGGUUGUCGUCAGCUCGUGUCGUGAGAUGUUGGGUUAAGUCCCGCAACGAGCGCAACCCCUAUUGUUAGUUGCCAUCAUUCAGUUGGGCACUCUAGCGAGACUGCCGGUAAUAAACCGGAGGAAGGUGGGGAUGACGUCAAAUCAUCAUGCCCCUUAUGACCUGGGCUACACACGUGCUACAAUGGUUGGUACAACGAGUUGCGAGUCGGUGACGGCAAGCUAAUCUCUUAAAGCCAAUCUCAGUUCGGAUUGUAGGCUGCAACUCGCCUACAUGAAGUCGGAAUCGCUAGUAAUCGCGGAUCAGCACGCCGCGGUGAAUACGUUCCCGGGCCUUGUACACACCGCCCGUCACACCACGAGAGUUUGUAACACCCGAAGUCGGUGAGGUAACCAUUUGGAGCCAGCCGCCUAAGGUGGGAUAGAUGAUUGGGGUGA